rnacentral:tRNA from 1 species
UCCCUGGUGGCUCAGAUGGUAAAGCGUCUGCCUGCAAUGCAGGAGACCCGGGUUUGAUCCCUGGGUUGGGAA